GCCGAAGUGGUGGAAUUGGUAGACACGUCGGUCUCAAAACCGAUGCCUUCUGGGCGUGCCGGUUCGAUUCCGGCCUUCGGUACCA
rnacentral:tRNA from 1 species